rnacentral:lncRNA from 1 species
GGAUGGCUUUCCUGGUUGUGAGCAUCUGUGCUGUGUGCAACUACAGAAGAGGACAAUGGAGACAAAAACGGGGGCCAUACUAUUCUUGAUUCUUCAUCUAGAGUGUCAGCUCUAUCCCGAGGCUGGCUUCUCUCUCAUGGUAGCAAAAUGACCCCACAGUGCCAUACCUAUUGGCAAAAUGUUGGCUCUGGUGAUGUUUCUUGGCUGCAUAUGAAUAAAAGCUCCUCCCUAGCAGAACUCUUGGGUAAUGUGUAAGAAUCACCCAGAUAGACUGGUUUUGAAGGCAUGAAGAGGUCAUGGAGAGCAGCUGAGGCUUGGCAUUAUGAGAGAGAGGUCAGGGAAGGACGUUAGUGAAGGUGUAGCCUCCAUUGCAGUUGACAGCCCAGGACUGAAGGGGUCAUACAAAGAAGUUAAGGACUUGGCACCAUGAGGAGAGCCUAUGAGAGGCUAUUGAUGAAGCCUAGUUGUAGACGACCCCACAUAUUGGAGAUGCCAGUACCAUGGGAUGACCCCCAAGAAGAGCAGCAACAGUGGAGUGGAGUCAACCAGAGCCUAGAGUGCUACAGAGGGCAGAGCUGGAGAAGUGACCCAAGGCCUUUGGAGGAGCCCAGCAGAUCACACAUGAUGUUUGGUUCUCAGACAUAGGAGUAAGAAGCUCUAAAGUUGAAGUGGCCUUGGAUACCCCGAGAUAUUAGAAAUGUCAGAGCUAUGGGAUACCUGCCUAGGAAAGCUGCUAAUAGGGAGUGAAACCAGCCAAAGAGAAGGUAUGGUGUCGUCAGCCAAGUUGAACGGCUUUGGAGAU